AGUUCAUGGUGUGGGCAUUUCUUUAGCAUUGUCUUGAACCACUCCCAUGCUCUCUAUAAGGAUUCUCCUUCAAAUUAUUUAAAAUUGGUGAUUUCUUGCCUCAACU
rfam:Gossypium hirsutum cultivar TM-1 chromosome 12, whole genome shotgun sequence